UACAUGGGGUGCAAACGUUGCUCGGAAUUAUUGGGCGUAAAGCGCACGUAGGCGGUUCGUUAAGUCGGAUGUGAAAGCCCUCGGCUCAACUGAGGAAGUGCACCCGAAAUUGGCGAGCUUGAGUACGAAAGAGGAUCGCGGAAUUCCGGUGUAGAGGUGAAAUUCGUAGAUAUCGGGAGGAACGCCGGUGGCGAAGGCGGCGAUCUGGGUCGAUACUGACGCGUGAGGUGCGAAAGCGUGGGAGCAACAGG
rnacentral:rRNA from 1 species